CCUACGGGAGGCUGCAGUGAGGAAUAUUGGUCAAUGGACGAGAGUCUGAACCAGCCAAGUAGCGUGAAGGAUGACUGCCCUAUGGGUUGUAAACUUCUUUUAUAUGGGAAUAAAAUGUUCCACGUGUGGGAUUUUGUAUGUACCAUAUGAAUAAGGAUCGGCUAACUCCGUGCCAGCAGCCGCGGUAAUACGGAGGAUCCGAGCGUUAUCCGGUUUUAUUGGGUUUAAAGGGAGCGUAGGUGGAUUGUUAAGUCAGUUGUGAAAGUUUGCGGCUCAACCGUAAAAUUGCAGUUGAAACUGGCAGUCUUGAGUACAGUAGAGGUGGGCGGAAUUCGUGGUGUAGCGGUGAAAUGCUUAGAUAUCACGAAGAACUCCGAUUGCGAAGGCAGUUCACUGGACUGCAACUGACACUGAGGCUCGAAAGUGUGGGUAUCAAACAGGAUUAGAUACCCUAGUAGUC
rnacentral:rRNA from 1 species